CUUUCACAAUAAUAGGAUUAGAGAUCAAAAUAACAAAUAUAACUACGAAGCUGAAUACACAAAGUUAAAAAGACAGGAAUCAGAGACAGUAACGUGAGGAAUACCAGGAAACUGUAGGGAAAAGAAAGAAUGAACAGACAGGAGGAAAAAAGAAACAACAGUGUUGUCCCCUUGUACAGCAACCUCGAGGCAGUGAUAAUUCCAGGAGGAUUGUUUAUGAUUUCUUCCUCUGAUUAAGGUUCUGAAACCCCAGAUGGAUUAUGUUCUGGAUCAUGAGGGAGCCAAGUGCACAGACGUCUCUACUGGAAGGCUUUCCUAUUGCAAGAGUUCACUGUGCAGCAUUUACUGGGCCGGGCCAGUGGUACAACCAUGCUACCCUUUCAAUUGUGUGUAACACGGAAGAAGAAUCCAGACUUCUCUUGGAGGCGGGAAAGAAGAAAGACAGGCCAAGCAGAACAACAUAAUACAUGACCAAGAUUAAAUAAAAAGACGAUGGAAGCAAUACACAGAAGAACUAUAUAAAAGAGAAGAAAGGAUGAAUGUUAUAUGGGAAGAAGAAGCAUAUGAAAAAGAACCCUAAAGUAUGGAAAGUAAAAGUGGCACUCUAAACAAUUGGGAAGAAUAAGUUAACAGGAACAGAUGACAUACCAAUGGAACUCCUGCCUUCUAAACAGUUCUAACUAAAAUUUGUCAACAAAUAUGGAAAACAAAGCAAUGGCCUCCAGAGUGGAAACGGUCAAUAUACAUCCCCAUCCACAAAAAGAGGAGACACAAAAGAGUGCAGCAACUACAGAACCAUUGCAUUAAUUUCCUAUGCAAACAAAAUCAAGCUUAAACUUCUGCAGCAGAGACUCCAUAUAUGAAGUGAGAAAUUACAGAGGUGCAAGUUAAGUUCAUGAAAGGAAAAACAACAGAUAAGCUACAGGAAUUCUAGAUUUCCCAUACACUGUCUCAAUCAUGGAUCAGAAGAGGGACUGCAGUCAAGAAAUCAGAAGAAGUCUAGGGUUGAGAACGGCAGCUAUGAAGUUACCUAAACAAGGUGCAAAGACAUUAAACUGAAUACCAAAGUUAGGAUCGUCCAAGCUAUUGUAUUCCACAUCACCAUGUGCCGAUGUGAGAGCUGGAGAGUGAAGAAAGCAGAUAGAAAGAAAAUCAACUCAUUUGAGAUAUUCUGGAAAAGAGUGCUGAGCAUACCAUGGAUGGCCAAAACAAGAAGCAAGUGGGUCCUAGAACAGAUCAAGCCUGACCUAUCCCUGGAAGCCAAGAUGACUAAAGUGAGGUUGUAAUAUUUCGGCCACGAAAGAGAUGACACUAGAAAAGACAAAAAUACUACAAAAGGUGGAGGGCAAUAGAAAGAGAGGAAGGUCACAUAUCAGAUGGAUAGACUCAAUCAAGGUGGGCAAGACCCUGAGCCUACAGGACCUAGGCAGAACAGUUAAGAAUAGGAGGUCUUGGGGGUGUCACAUUCACAGGGUCACCAUGAGUUGAAGUCAACUCAAGUACAGUUAACAACAACAACACAAGCAAAACAUUCACUGAAAACAUUAGUGGUAUUGCCUCUCCUCCCAGCUAUUUCUUCUCAAGGCCAUUUUCUUUGUUCAACACAGUGGCAUCACUAGGGUUGGUGUCACCUGGUGCAGUAACUCAUGGUGUCACCCCCUUAUUGAUCUUCUUCCAUACCACUAAAAUCCUUAGUAAUGUUUUUUGUACUAAUGUUACUCAUAAAUCAUAAUUCAGGUAUAUCACUGAAUAUAAUGGUAACAGUUGGACAUCAACAACAAGCAAAAUUAAAAGUAUGCCUUUAAAUCAUAAUAUCAUAUGCAUAGCCUGAAGGUAUUUACAGGCAUAUCAUUUCAUGUAAUUAAAAUGAACAUUUGGAAAGAUGUGAUUUAUUUUAAAGAAAAAUUUAAAAGAAUUAAAAAAAUCAAUUUUUUAAUUAAAAAUAAUAAUUCCUUAAAAUACCUGGGGCCUCUCCUUUCUCCUCCCACUGAGUGUCACCCCACUUACACCAUCUCUUCAGCACAUUUCUGCCUCAAGGCAGAUGUUUGAGGAGCAGUGGUGUCUCACACAUACACACCCCCACACACACCUUAAGGUGUUAUCUUGUGUGGUCUGUAUCGCACAGUUCCUAGUGAUGUCCCUGGUUUACAAUCUUCACGAGGCCUACUUGAAAUAAAACUACAUACAAGAUGUUGUCCUUACCCCAGUUGCAUCUCCAGAAGCUGACCAGUCUGGCAUUUGAAUCAACACUAGUGAUAAGAAGUGUUCUUUACACUUGAAGAUGGUAGCUAGCUUAGGUGAUACAGGACAAGUUGUGAUCUGUAUAUAAUGUUAGUCUCUCAACACAUCACUUCUGUUUUCUCCCCCUUCAGACACACACCCACACACACCCCAGGUAGGCAUCUGCUGACAAACAUAGUGAACUCAUUUGUCUUUGUUUCCCGACAUCACCAUUUAAUUCUAUUGUCUGGCGUGACUGACAGUUUUACUUAUCCGCUAUGCUAUCUGUCAUGUGGUUCAGGCAGACAUUAGACUAAACUACAAUACAGUCGGCCCUCCACAUUUGCAGCUUUGACUUUUGAGGAUCUGAUUAUACAUAGAUUUGACUAAUGCGUUAUCUCUAGUAAUCUCUAGGUCCUCCAGAACGACAUUAUGGUCAAUGUCCACCAGAACUCAUGCUGGAGGAACUACAGAUUUCUAGAGAGAACACUUAGGCAUUUGGAGGUCCUCCAGCACAGUUCUAUGGUCAACAUCCAGCAGAUGUUGGCCACAGACUUGUUCUGGAAGGCCUAGAGAUUUCUAGAGAGGUGUUCUCUCAGGUAAAAAUAGUGAGUUUUUUUAGUUGCGGGGGUCUUUCACAGGGUCUUGCACCCCUAACCCCAGUAAAUGUGGAAGGCCUGUAUAAAAAAACAGGGACGUAAAAUAACAUACAAAGGAUGGAUGUGUUCACACAAUAAAGAAAAACUGGUGGAGACAGAGGACGUUUUUGAGAUGAAGUCAUUUCAACACAACUGUACUUUGAAUUUCUCACAGAAAUUUUUUUUGAAGAGAUCCUAAACAUGUGCAUAAACACAUGAAUCUUAGGCUCAACUGAAAAACCAUUCCAGAUAUUCUAUAGGCACAUAUAUAAGUCAAAAUGUCCCAUCACAUGCAGCUUUAACAUGUCAGGCAACCAUAUCUAAGGGCAGAGCACACUGGGAUUUUAACAAUGAACAUAUACAGCCCGUAUGAAAUAGGUAAGAUACCUGCCCCACUCAUCCCAUUCCUAACAAACAUGCCUACUUCAUGUUUAAAACCAGAUGUAAAUACAUAAUUGCAACACUGAAUCUGUGAAAUUCAGUAGUUUUAUGCAGUAUUUCUCAGAACACCACAAAGUUGCCUCAGAACUUUUACUAACAUGUCUAGGAGCCAAAAAGGUCCAUCCUAGUGAGAAAAACAAACACCUUAAACCCAGCACUCUCAAGAAAUAUUAAGUGCAAGGAUGACGAAAGUACAGUGGAAAUUAGACUUUUGUGAAUGACUCACUGAAAUGAAGAGGCUUUUAAAGAAAAAGGUAUUCUUAAUCUAUCUGCAUCUCUCCUUUCUGACAGGAAAAACAUGUUAAUAUAUUUAGAAUGCUGCUAUCUUUUCUUUCUUACAUGAUGCUAACUAAAGGCAGUGCACAAAGUUUCCAGGUACAGCUCAGAGCUGCAUUUGCUUUCCUUUAACAUGGCAAUUACGUCAUGAGUUUUCAGACUGUGCCCUUGACCAGAUAUGCAAAGAAUAUUCAUGUUUUCUUACUGUUGUAGUUGACUUGAAGAUGUUUGGCAUCUAGGGAUUUGGAGGCAAAAUUUUAAUUUCUUAAAAAAAUGCAUUUGGUGCAUAUGUAAUUUUGUGUACAUAUGUUACAUUUACCCCAAAUACAAUUUUUUACACACGAUGCAAUGUUUUUGAAUGAACUAAACAUGCACAAAAGAGUCUCAAAGUAUUUUAAAAAUCAUACAAAAAACUUACACUAAAAUGCUUGCAAUCCAGCAGGAAGAAAACAUUUGAAACUUUUCAUUCUCAUCUGCAAGAAUGAAAUAAGCGCACUCUUGCUCUUAAUUUGUUUACCCCUUGAAUGGUUUGUUGCUGGAGAAUUCCUGGAUCUUCAUGGAUUAAGUCCUGGAUAAGUGUGAUGUGUCUGAAAAUCUUUGGCACAAUUGCAUGACUUUGCCAGGAAUAUGCCUUUUUCUUCCCCAAUUUCACCCGUCUCUCCCCCACCCCAUUUGAUAAUCUCCCUUUAAACUCCAAUCAAAGGAGAGGGAAAUAGGGUGCUAGCCAUUUCUAAAUGGUCCCCCAACUCAAUAGUGGAGAAGCUGGUGAGUAGACUUGCAAAUUCAACUACCCUAGUGCAGAAAGAACAUUGCUAGUCUCUUAAGAGAUUGGAAAUAGGAUAUAAUGGUAUAAACAUAGUACAUAAAAUACAAGGGCGAGAAACCACAGUGAGUCCAGGACUCUGGGAACAACAUAGACUGACAAAAAUGCCAACAGUGAAACAUGCAAGGCAAGACAUGACAAGGAAUCCACUUCUGCUUUUGAGAAAUAUAGGGGAUAAUGUUAAAUGGGGCGGGGGGGACGGGACACAUCCUAUUUAAAAGAUGAACUGCUCCUGUUGGAUGCUUCUAAGAGAUGGCAGAUCACCCACUCUUUCCCUUUGUUUUUGCCAGAAAAGACUGGUGUGGGGAAUCUGAAGGGGGCCAAGGACCACAUAAGCACAUUGAGGACUAUUUAAACAGCCUUGAUGAACAUCUUGGGGAUUAUUUCAACAACCUUGACUCACUCUGUAAAAGAGCACAACUGCUCCAUCCAUUUAUAUUUCACAGACAUUCAUUUCUGGAUUAAUUUUAUCCAGAACUCAGUUUCUCUCUAUCACAAGCCAGUCAACUAUUGCAGAGAGACAGCUGCUUUUGCACUUGUACUUGUAAAAGGCUGCACUUGGAGACUUAUCUGUCUGAAUGGAUGCACAUGGAACUGUGCUGCAUAUACUUGGCUGGCAAAAUUCAAAUUGGUACAAAUUCCAUUAUGCCUUGACCACUUACCUUUGGGCCCAUUUCCUGCUGGUCUGUUGCCUACAAGGUCCAUCCCAAAUUGGAAUCUGGGCCACAAGACAAGAAAGUUUCCUCACUUCUGUUAUGAAGCCAAAUGAUAGGUUGCAUAACUCUUUAUGGCACAUCUACUCAAGGAUGUUGGGUAACCUUCAUCUAUGGGUUGACAUCAUCCCACUGCAGAAAACCAACAACCCUGACUUUUGUCAUAAGACAACCAAGUCAGAAAUUAAAAGUCUCAGCAGCUGGUUAGUGGCUACAUGAAUCAGACCAACAGAAUAAAAGACUGUUUGGAGCUACAACACAAUAUGAAAUGUACUAGAUUUCAUAACAUUACUAUCUUCAAAUGAUGUCUGCCUGAAGAUUCAGUUCAUUCAAUAUUUCAGAUUCAUGAAUGAAUGAAACCUGCCAAGCAUGUUUCAGAGAACAGCUCUUCUGCAGCUAUAAUUAAAAAGAAUACUUAGCCCAAAUCCUGCAGAAAAAUGUUCCCCCUCUUAGCACAAGUAUUUGUUCUGCACAAAAGCAGUUUAACUAGUAAGAUUGAAGGGCAAAACCUCUUUCACUCUCUCUUGCUUUUCUUCCCAUGGAAAAUGUGAACCAAGCAAAAAUGCAAAAGCAAUGGUCAAGAUGGCAAAAACUAUAGACGAGGAAGAAGAGGACACAAGUUUGGAGAGGCUGGAGCAGUUUGCUUUUGCCUGAGUCUACUGGGAAGGGCAAGGUUCUGCACUCUCUAUUCAUCUCCCUCCUACUGAGUUGAGCACAAAUUAUAUUUCUAUGUUAAACUCAAUUUCCAAUUGAAAUAAGUCAAGAAUAAAUGGAGAAAAUGGUUGAAGGAGAGAGAAACUGAGAGAUUUUGAAAGCAGCAAAAAGUGGGAUGGCAGAAGAUUAAAUGGGACUGUCCGCUAAAUCAGGACAGUUGAAUUGUAUGAAGUUCCUGCAGUUCCCUUGCUUAUUAUGAAAGGAAACCAACCACAACAGUUCUGUUGAGGGGGAUACUGGGAGAAGAGAGAAAGGAAGUUGAUAAGACUCUGCAUUUCUUGAAGGUUUCAUCCCCAGAGUUAAAGGCUACCCUCAGCCUUUACUUUCUGCCCAAGGAGUUUAUCACACGGAGGAAAUACCAUGCAGAAACUGGAUUUAAAAGCUGGGGGGGAAACGCAAAAGUGGGCUGAUUUUCACACAUGUCGUUGUUAAACUGGUGUUAACCUGAACAGAAAGUAGACACAGCCAUACCUUUUUACUUUUGAGAUUUUCUGAAAGUAAAAAGGAGCAGCUUUUGUCUACUUUCCAUCUACUUUCUGUUUAGGUUAACAUCACUUUUAACGGCGAGGUUGUAUAAAAAUGUUUCUGGUUUAAACUCCCAUUUCUGCAUGGGAUUUCUGCCUAAGAUGUGUUCAUUUCCUGCUUGAAAGAAACCUUCCCUGCACAUUAAGAAUCUUCCUGUUCUUUAUUGUGCUGUAUAUGAAGGCCAAGAACUAAUAUAGCAAAAAGGCUGGAACAAAGUAAAUCUUGACUCUGCUUUAAGAGAGAGGAAGGCAGAACAUUGAUCAUUGUCUGCUUAAAAAAUGAUGCACUGUUAUGUGAUACUAAUUUAGGUAGUAUAACCUUCAGCUCCAGAUCCAAAUUGGAACCUGACCCUUUAACCAUGAUCAGCAGCUCUGCCAUUGUUACAAAAAGCCAGCUGCCUUUCAGGAACGACUGAAGUUGGGCAUUGGUUUUUCUUCCCUUUUCCCUUCCUCAUUUAGGAUCCUUUCCAGCCAGAUCUCACUGAAGCACUUCCUCAGAUGUCAGUCAAACCACUACAGAGAUAAAGGCUUCAGUGUCUGAAUACAGAAAUCAAAGCACACUGAGCUGCAUCCAAAAAGCAAAUGUACCAAGCUCCACAGCAGCCAAAAUAAAGUAUACUAUAGGAGCACCAGUCAACCAUCACAGUCAGAGAAUUUUCAGAUAUCUUCAGAUACUGGGGAAAGGGGGGGGGGGGGGUUCCACAUCUUAUGGCACCCUCUAGUGUGUUACUAGUGCAAAGUACAUGCAGUGUGCACUUCCUAUCCUUUUCAUUAACAGAAGCAUUAAUUACCAUGUUUAAUAAGGAAUUUCUCCUACCAAAUGCGUUGGACAUUAGCACAGCAUACACAUGUAUAGCAACAUGCCUAGCAAGCACCUCAGGAGCAUCAUGGGAUCAUGACAAAAUUUGGGGCAAAACCAUUCUCUCCCAGGAGUGCCCUAUGCACAUACCUUACCAUCACAAAACAGUUUGGUCCAGAUCUUGUUACUGUCACUGCUUUUGACUACAAAGUUCUGGGGAACGUAGUUCAAAAAAUUACAUCUUCCAAGCUCUGAUUUCAUCCAUUAGUGACACAAAUCAGGCAAAUCAUGAAUAUACAGCCUUCAUGUUCAGCUAUAUGUCCCUAGCAAUGGGUAUGAAAAUUCAGCUGGCUUAUUCCAACCAUGGUUCUAUUCAGUCCCAAACUAUCUACUCUAAGAUCAUCAAUUCAAGGUCUUCAGCAUACAGAUCACACUGCAUUUUAUGCAACUUCAAUUUUAAACAUCAUGUAGUUUUUACUUUAGGUUUAGAGAAUUACUAUUAUAAAAUGAAUGAAACAAAUGCAACCAGUUCCAUUCAGUAUUUAUAAAAGUGUGGGAUUUCAGGUACAGUACAUGGAUUAUGCUACAGCUGCCCUUGAUCUGUCUUCAUCCUUUCUGACAAAAGAACAAUGCAUGGAAAGGCUCUUACGUCAUGCCUGAACUUAGGUUAUAGCAUUGUUGGUUUGGAGAGGCUCUUUAUAUCUUCUGGUUCAUCUACCAGCAUGUGGAUCAAGUGAAGAUCUCCCAUCUCAUGACCAGUCUAAUCAAAUGCUACCUACAAAACUAACUUGACAGAUAUGGACAUGACAUAAUUGAGUUACACUGUACAGUAACCAAAGUAGUUUUAAGUCAAUAGUAUGGUGGAGGAUACCCAAUGAGAUCUUCCUUCCAAAGGGUUUAUUACAGUUUGCCAUAGAAGCCAUGAUUUAAGCUUGCUGAAGAUGACAUCAUAAGAAAUGUACUGUUAUACCACCACGUUAUACUACUAUAUAACCCUGAAAAUGUUAACUUUUGU